CCCUUAGAUGUUCUGGGCUGCACACGUGCUACACUGGCAGGUUCAGCGAGCUUCAUGCCCUGAUCUGAAAGGAAUGGGAAAUCUUUUCAAAACCUGCCGUGCUUGGGAUAGAUGUUUGCAAUUAUUCAUCUUCAACGAGGAUUGCCUUGUAAGCGCACGUCAUCAGCGUGCAUUGAAUACGACCCUGUAUUCUGUACACACCGCCCGUCGCUCCUACCGAUUGAAGUUCUCGGUGAGUUGACAGGAGGAUUUUUUUGAAACUGGUUCGCCAGUGGAUUUUAGAUCCAAAUGCCAACGAAUCGAUGGCUUUAGAGGAAGGAGAAGUCGUAACA
rnacentral:rRNA from 1 species